UAGCUAGUUGGUGGGGUAAGGGCCUACCAAGGCGACGAUCGGUAGCUGGUCUGAGAGGAUGACCAGCCACACUGGAACUGAGACACGGUCCAGACUCCUACGGGAGGCAGCAGUGGGGAAUAUUGGACAAUGGGGGGAACCCUGAUCCAGCAAUGCCGCGUGUGUGAAGAAGGCCUGAGGGUUGUAAAGCACUUUCAGUGGGGAGGAGGGUUGAUAGGUUAAGAGCUAAUUAACUGGACGUUACCCACAGAAGAAGCACCGGCUAACUCCGUGCCAGCGGCCGCGGUAAUACGGAGGGUGCGAGCGUUAAUCGGAAUUACUGGGCGUAAAGCGUGCGUAGGUGGCUGAUUAAGUUAUCUGUGAAAUCCCUGGGCUUAACCUGGGCAGGUCAGAUGAUACUGGUUGACUCGAGUAUGGGAGAGGGUAGUGGAAUUUCCGGUGUAGCGGUGAAAUGCGUAGAGAUCGGAAGGAACACCAGUGGCGAAGGCGGCUACCUGGCCUAAUACUGACACUGAGGCACGAAAGCGUGGGGAGCAAACAGGAUUAGAUACCCUGGUAGUCCACGCUGUAAACGAUGUCAACUAGCUGUUGGUUAUAUGAAAAUAAUUAGUGGCGC
rnacentral:rRNA from 1 species